CCGUYGCCUUUCCAGAAACACGACCGUCGAACACGUGACAAAAUGCUGCUGCGGAGGCGCCUGCCGCCUCUGUGGCCCCACCGGCCUCCUCUCUCUCGCCUUUCGGGCGCGUCAGUUGCUGGUCGGAAUACGGCGCGGGAUGACGCCAAGGAACACGAUAAAAGCCGAGGCACCGGCGAGCCGCUCAAGGGCUCUGUCAGUUGCCAAGGCCAACAAAAAUAAUACGACUCUCGGCAACGGAUAUCUCGGCUCUCGCAUCGAUGAAGAACGUAGCGAAAUGCGAUACGUGGUGUGAAUUGCAGAAUCCCGUGAACCAUCGAGUCUUUGAACGCAAGUUGCGCCCGAGGGACCCUCCCGAGGGCACGCCUGCCUCAUGGGCGUUAGAAGCCCAUCCACGCUCGGCUGCCUAACCAAGGGCAGAGAUGCGGAAAUUGGCCCUCCGAACCGCGAGGCGCGGUGGGCCUAAGUGUGCGGCCGUCGUACGUGGCCGGGAGCGGCGAGUGGUGGGCUGCUGCGCACGUCACCCCGAGCCCCGUGCCGACGCAGGGCCUUGUACGACCCCUAACGAGGAGCAAGCCAGUGCGGCUUCGGCUGCGCGGCGCCUUCGGACC
rnacentral:rRNA from 1 species